rnacentral:SRP_RNA from 1 species
GGUGGGUCCCCUUGCAUUGUAACUUGCAAAAUCUGGUCAGGUCAGGAAUGAAGCAGCCAUAUGCGAGAAAGCAAGUGCCAAGGUAAAGGCUCACCUCU